AGCUCCAGUAGCGUAUAUUAAAGUUGUUGCAGUUAAAAAGCUCGUAGUUGGAUUUCUGGAUGACCAUGCUGGCCCGCUUUCUUCUGAAGGUGAGUGCCGUCAUGCGUUACCCAUCCUUUCAUAGAACCGUGCCUACCCUUCACUGGGCCGGGCGCGUGUGAUGUGAAUCUUUUACUUUGAAAAAAUUAGAGUGUUUCAAGCAGGCUUAUGCCACUGAAUACAUUAGCAUGGAAUAAUAAUAUAGGACUUCGGUUCUAUUUUGUUGGUUUCUGGAACUGAAGUAAUGAUUGAUAGGGAUAGUUGGGGGUGCUACUAUUCAACGGCCAGAGGUGAAAUUCUUGGAUUCGUUGAAGAGUAACUACUGCGAAAGCAUUCACCAAGGAUGUCUUCUUUA
rnacentral:rRNA from 1 species